UAUUUUCAAAUUUUACGUUUUUUAAAAGUUCAUGAUUUCGCUUGGGGAUAAACGGGAUUUGGCAAUUAUUUCGCUGCGACAACUGACUGGUUUACUGGAGGCAAUUACAGAGUGGGAAGAUUUCUUUUUGCGGAGGAGGCAUUCCUGUCCGUCUGUAUUAAGGUCUAUUCGGGUAAACCAGGGAAACUAUCAUUAUAAUAUUUCAGGAAACCUAGGACUCUAACACCGUAAACUACUAUAUUCUAGGCCAGAGCUCUACCCUAAUGUUCGCGCACGCGUGGAUAUAAUUGGAACUUCACGUGGGAUGGCGACGAUACGACAACACGGGAAAAGGAAUUUUGUACGUCCGUAAAAACUAUCACUUAGUCGGAAAACCAAAAACUGAUACCAGAGCACCCCAGGCGUGGUGGUGCUGAAAAGCAGUGGCUUGCAGGUUUGUUUAUUUUUCUUUUAUUUUUAUAUUUUGAAAUUUAGUUUUAAGUUUAGCUUUAAGUUUAGCGUUAAGUUUAAAUUCUUUAAUAAAAUUUAUUUAAUUAAAAAAAAAUUAAAAAUUUAUUUUUUUCUUUUUCUUAUGGUGGCCACUGACUCCACCUUCUUCUCUAUGUGGAGCAAAAAAUCAAAAGGGACCGAACUUGUUUCAGUAGCUCUAAUACAGGGUGCACACGACAGCACACAGUGGGGCAGAAUGGAAAUUUUUUGGAAAUAAAUCUGGAAUUUCCAAACGGCUUAUCCGAUCGGGAUAAAAUUUGGCGUGAGCGUAGCCAAGGAGUAUUCGAGUUUAAGUUUUGAAGAUGA